rnacentral:rRNA from 1 species
GUAGGUGGCAAGCGUUGUCCGGAAUUAUUGGGCGUAAAGCGCGCGCAGGCGGUUCUUUAGGUCUGAUGUGAAAGCCCACGGGCUCAACCGUGGAGGGUCAUUGGAAACUGGAGAACUUGAGUACAGAAGAGGAAAGCGGAAUUCCACGUGUAGCGGUGAAAUGCGUAGAGAUGUGGAGGAACACCAGUGGCGAAGGCGGCUUUCUGGUCUGUAACUGACGCUGAGGCGCGAAAGCGUGGGGAGCAAACAGGAUUAGAUACCCUGGUAGUCCACGCCGUAAACGAUGAGUGCUAAGUGUUAGGGGGUUUCCGCCCCUUAGUGCUGCAGCUAACGCAUUAAGCACUCCGCCUGGGGAGUACGGCCGCAAAGGCUG